rnacentral:rRNA from 1 species
UACGUAGGGGGCAAGCGUUGUUCGGAUUCAUUGGGCGUAAAGGGUGUGUAGGUGGCGCGCUAAGUCGGGUGUGAAAGCCCCCGGCUCAACUGGGGAGGGUCACGCGAUACUGAUCGACUCGAAGGCAGGAGAGGGUAGUGGGAUUCCCGGUGUAGUGGUGAAAUGCGUAGAUAUCGGGAGGAACACCAGUGGCGAAGGCGACUACCUGGCCUGUUCUUGACGCUGAGGCGCGAAAGCUAGGGGAGCAAACGGG